UGCCCAGCAACUCCCCAUCCCUACUUCCUCGUGGUACCAGCCGGAAACUAUGAGCAACCUUAGGGCAGAUCGGAUAACCAACCCCGGUGGGAACUUUGGCCGUAGGCUGACAGGGAAGG
rfam:Aedes albopictus isolate Foshan contig134196, whole genome shotgun sequence.